AGCAAUAAAUCAGUUAAUGGAUAAAAUCAUUUGUAUUACAGAUGCUAUCAACAGCAUGUCUUGUUCAUUUUAUUUAGUUGUCGGCCUUGGAUGAUGAGGUCCAGUUACCAGGAGCACUAGUCUGCAGCUUACUGGUUCCGUCCUGCAGCUCCUCCACGCUGUCCUCCUCUCUACAGACCAAAUCAAGAAAAGGGAACCAGGAAGCUGCUUUGGAUCCUCUGCAGUGUCUGGAGAGGUCAGAGGAACGGUUCUUGGAACAGAUCGGAGGACACCAAGACGUGACCUCUGCCAUGCUCCAGAACAUCCAGAAGAUGAAUGAAAACCUUGGUUGCACUGAUGGGACGCAUGGUGUCGGUGCUGGAGCAACUGUCCCAGAAUUAAACUGCAUUGUUGACUGUUCGCUUUUCUAGAAAAUAAAUCUUUUUUAGUACUUCACCUGUUUUGUAUUUUACCCAUGCACUUUGGGUGAAUAAACAGAAAUUUGUGAUGAGAGAUGCAAAUUUUGUCUAUAAUCUACAGAGACUUUAUUCAGUGUUCAGUGCACACUUUUGUUACACACAUUUUGACAGAUAAGCAGUUGUGCUUUUCAAGCAGAUUUUAGUCAGAAACAUCAGUAGCAUAUAUUGUUGUUUUUUUACUGUUACACCAAUCUAGGUAGAUAAACUGCACUACUGCAGCAGACAUAUUAUUGAAAUGUGCUUCUAUUAUGUGUCUACAUACACUGCUCACAAAUAGUUAUUCAACUUUUGGGUGAAAUUGAUGGAAAAUAUAAAAAGUGCAUGCUGUAGUGAUAUAUCAUAAAAGUAGGGUAUUUAACUAGAAACAUGCAAUAGUGA